rnacentral:rRNA from 1 species
AGUCGAAUGUAGCAACACAUGGCGAACUGCUCAGUAACACGUGGACAACCUGCCCUUAGGUUGGGUAUAAACCCGGGAAACUGGGUAUAAUACCCGAUAGGUCUCGAUUGCUGGAAUGCAUCGAGAUUUAAAGCUCCGGCGCCUAAGGAUGGGUCUGCGGCCUAUCAGGUAGUAGUGGGUGUAGCGUACCUACUAGCCUACGACGGGUACGGGUUGUGAGAGCAAGAGCCCGGAGAUGGAUUCUGAGACACGAAUCCAGGCCCUACGGGGUGCAGCAGGCGCGAAAACUUUACAAUGCUGGCAACAGCGAUAAGGGAACCUCGAGUGCCAGGUUACAAAUCUGGCUGUCGAGAUGCCUAAAAAGCAUUUCAUAGCAAGGGCCGGGCAAGACCGGUGCCAGCCGCCGCGGUAACACCGGCGGCUCGAGUGGUAACCGUUAUUAUUGGGUCUAAAGGGUCUGUAGCCGGCCGGAUAAGUCUCUUGAGAAAUCUGGCAGCUUAACUGUCAGGCUUUCAGGAGAUACUGUCUGGCUCGAGGCCGGGAGAGGUGAGAGGUACUUCAGGGGUAGGGGUGAAAUCUUGUAAUCCUUGAAGGACCACCAGUGGCGAAGGCGUCUCACCAGAACGGACCUGACGGCAAGGGACGAAAGCUAGGGGCACGAACCGGAUUAGAUACCCGGGUAGUCCUAGCCGUAAACGAUACUCGCUAGGUGUCGGCCACGGUGCGACCGUUGUCGGUGCCGUAGGGAAGCCGUGAAGCGAGCCACCUGGGAAGUACGGCCGCAAGGCUGAAACUUAAAGGAAUUGGCGGGGGAGCACCACAACGGGUGGAGCUUGCGGUUUAAUUGGAUUCAACGCCGGG